UCGGAAGGCCGGGUAGGUUAAGAUCUCUGCACGCACCCCAGAGUUCGAACCUCUCAAGGGUUUGCGGAGCCCAAAAUCCGACACCAUAUAAUCCCUAUCGGAUAUCGAUCCGCCCCAGACCUACCACCGGUGGCUAUAGGUAGGAGACGGCGCCCGUGAGCGGGCGCUGGCGGCAACCGGAGAGAGGGAGCAAGCGACGGAGGCGGCAACGUUCCCCGGUUAACCUGUAGCUUUGAGGCCGCCUCACACGAGAGAGCGACCGCUGUAGCCGGAGCGAGGGAGUGCAUGGCGGCAGCGGCGACUAUUCCCCGCUUAUCUGUAGCUUCGGGGCCGCCUCGUGCGAGCGAGCAAUGGCAAUAACCCGAGCGAGGGAGUGCACGUAGGCAGCAGCAGCGAUUCCCCCCGGUUUUCCUAUUUCUUCUGAGGCCUCCUCGCGCUAGCCAGCGGCGGAUUUCGAGCGAUGGAAUCGAGGGACAAGACUGCAGCAGCUGCUGGGCGCACGACGGGGAUGAAGCCAGCGACAUCAACAACUGACUUGGGUACGAUUCCUUUAACAUCCCGACUUGGGAACGAACUCCGCUGCACCUACAUCAAUCCUAGCCGGCUUCAAGAUGCCACGCGGACGCGAAGUGGAGGACCGCGACCCCAGAUGGCCAUGACGUCGUCCUUCGGCCCUGCUUCACUGGGGCGUGGUCUUUCAGUGUCGAGCAGCCUCAGGUGGGAGGCAUUGAGGGGCGCGUGGCUCUGGUGUUGCGCACCGGUGGCGGCAGCCAGCAUCGGCAGUAAGCUCAUGGUUUUCAUCCCCUCCCUGUCUUCCCCUUUGACUCUCUCAUACUCUGAACCGUCCGCCACAUGGACACCAACGCACAGGCAGUAGUGCGUCGAGGAAGUAGCAGUUACAGACGGCCAUUCGAGUUCCUCUACAAGCAGCAGUUGGACGAUAGUUAAUUGGUGCUCUCCCCAUCACCCAUUGUUGCAGUUCUUCAGCAGCAGCUAGUUGUCAGCCGUGUGGCAGUUAUUAUUUGGUUGUGGGGCAGUUAGAGAAAAAUAGUUAGCUGUGUUAAAUCAAAACGUUAACUGAUAUAUUGACCUUGUUAACUGCACAACUUUGCCCUCGUUGUCUCUUCAGUCAAAUUUAUUUUAGCGAUUUCUGUUAGAUUGUUGAUUUUCAUCCAUUGGUGCGUUGAAAACAAAAGAAGUUAACUUUUUUUUCUUCUGUAACAGUUAACUAUGGAAUUUGCAUAAGUUAUUAAAAACGGGAAAAGUUAACCCAUCGGGCUGCUGUUGUCACCAUGAUGCCGGUGCCACACAAUCUGAUGCUCUUGCUGUUAAAAACAAAUGCAGUUAACUUCAGUUAAUCUGAUGCUCUUGCAGAAGCGCCGGCAAGGACAUCUCAUCAUCGAUGAUGCUGUCCAUCACCAGAGUCAACCGGGUUCGUCGGACGCAGGCUCGUGCAAAAGCUUCUAUCCGCGGGUAGCAACUAGCAAGCAGUUAAUUGGAGUUUAACAAGCAGCAGUUAUCCAACGGUUCAUUUGGAGCUUAACAGGCAGCAUUCAGCAAGAAGUUUUUUUUUCUGGAUGCAGUUAUCUACAGAAACAAAAAUGAUAUAACCAGGCCAUCAGGGGCAUUCCACACAACCCAAACUGCUUGCUCUGCUCGACGAUGCCGAAAACGGCUGCUCACCUGCUGGCAGACUGCCCCUUCUUGGUAGAGGUUUGGAACUGCAUCAACAACAAGCUGGGACACCCGUUCUCCAUGCUACGGAUGGCGACAACGGUGACCACCAGUGGCCGAUCCCUCAAAGCAUCAUGGACAUGAUAGCUCCAGGCACUGCCGGCACCGGUGCAUAGGAAGAUGACCAUUUGCCUUGUUGCAUAGAUGUUGUGGAAGGAAUGCAAUGCCCGCAUCUUCAACAACACUCGGUGCACGCCCAAUCAGUCGUAUCAUGGGUGAAGCAAGGUGUUGGUUAGCGGCCGAGAUUCACCAUCUGGACAGGAUAUUCGAGCCACCAUUAUUUCUAUUACAUGUUUGGUCUUCAACUAUAGGACGCUGCCCCAAAUGAAAUCCGGGCAGAUUGUAAUCUCGCUUUAACUGCCACUUCCCUUACUAUAUACUUUUUUCCUCUCUGAUCAAUCGAUGAAAUGAGGCCCUAGGGCCCUAUUUUCGUCAAAAAAA